UACGUAGGCGGUCUAUUAAGUCAGAUGUGAAAGCCCCGGGCUUAACCUGGGAACUGCAUUUGAUACUGGUAGACUAGAGUAUGGUAGAGGGGGGUAGAAUUCCUAGUGUAGCGGUGAAAUGCGUAGAUAUUAGGAGGAAUACCAGUGGCGAAGGCGGCCCCCUGGACCAAUACUGACGCUGAGGUACGAAAGCGUGGGUAGCGAACA
rnacentral:rRNA from 1 species